rnacentral:lncRNA from 1 species
AGUUCAGUGAACUUUGACCUCUCCGGACAGCAGUCGGACACCAUUGAGGACCCUGAUUUAGAGGACCCUUUGAAUGAAACUGCAGAGGGUCCUACGUUAUGGAACGUUACCACAAUGAACAGAGAGAGGAAGGUAAAGGGAUCCAGAGGGAAGGUGGUAGUGAAUGGGGACAAAGAUGGAGCAUCUUCUCUCAGAAUAAAUAUGACUGAAGUCAACUCUACGUUCAAUUAUACUACGACGCAGGAGCCGGUUUCAGGGUUACCAGAAACUGUGGUGGAGACUGUUGUCCUCACACAGGAGGACUCUCUGAAGAAGAACUCAGGACAAAAGAAGAAGAACAGGGAACGUGGGAAGACAAGUGGAGAGGACAAGCGAGACGAGGAGGAAGAAGAGGAGUUUUAUAACGGCGAAGAAUACAGUUACGAAUAUGAGGAAGAGCCUAACCUGGACAACACCUCGGGGUCUCAGGAGAGGAGACACAACAGACAGGAGGGACAUCCUGCACAGUUGGAAACCUCCAGUCAUCCUCCAACAUCCUCCUCAGACAGAGAAACAGAUACUACACUCAAUGGUGUCUUGGCAACCACACAGCCACUAUCUCAACCCACUGAUGUUAUAGAUGAGGAUGAAAAGUCACUGCCUACACCUCCCAUCAUGACAGAAGAACGAGAUACGGUAGUGAUUUGA